CCUACGGGAGGCAGCAGUGAGGAAUAUUGGUCAAUGGACGAGAGUCUGAACCAGCCAAGUAGCGUGAAGGAUGACUGCCCUAUGGGUUGUAAACUUCUUUUAUAUGGGAAUAAAAUGUUCCACGUGUGGGAUUUUGUAUGUACCAUAUGAAUAAGGAUCGGCUAACUCCGUGCCAGCAGCCGCGGUAAUACGGCGGAUCCGAGCGUUCUCCGGAUUUAUUGGGUUUAAAGGGAGCGUAGGUGGAUUGUUAAGUCAGUUGUGAAAGUUUGCGGCUCAACCGUAAAAUUGCAGUUGAAACUGGCAGUCUUGAGUACAGUAGAGGUGGGCGGAAUUCGUGGUGUAGCGGUGAAAUGCUUAGAUAUCACGAAGAACUCCGAUUGCGAAGGCAGUUCACUGGACUGCAACUGACACUGAGGCUCGAAAGUGUGGGUAUCAAACAGGAUUAGAUACCCCUGUAGUC
rnacentral:rRNA from 1 species